UGGGGAAUUUUGGACAAUGGGCGAAAGCCUGAUCCAGCAAUGCCGCGUGAGUGAAGAAGGCCUUCGGGUUGUAAAGCUCUUUUGUCAGGGAAGAAACGGUGAGAGCUAAUAUCUCUUGCUAAUGACGGUACCUGAAGAAUAAGCACCGGCUAACUACGUGCCAGCAGCCGCGGUAAUACGUAGGGUGCAAGCGUUAAUCGGAAUUACUGGGCGCAAAGCGUGCGCAGGCGGUUUUGUAAGUCUGAUGUGAAAUCCCCGGGCUCAACCUGGGAAUUGCAUUGGAGACUGCAAGGCUAGAAUCUGGCAGAGGGGGGUAGAAUUCCACGUGUAGCAGUGAAAUGCGUAGAUAUGUGGAGGAACACCGAUGGCGAAGGCAGCCCCCUGGGUCAAGAUUGACGCUCAUGCACGAAAGCGUGGGGAGCAAACAGGAUUAGAUACCCCCGUAGUCCCUGAGCGGGCUGGCAAGGCGCAU
rnacentral:rRNA from 1 species